GACGAACGCUGGCGGCGUGCUUAACACAUGCAAGUCGAACGGAAAGGCCCUGCUUUUGUGGGGUGCUCGAGUGGCGAACGGGUGAGUAACACGUGAGUAACCUGCCCUUGACUUUGGGAUAACUUCAGGAAACUGGGGCUAAUACCGGAUAGGAGCUCCUGCUGCAUGGUGGGGGUUGGAAAGUUUCGGCGGUUGGGGAUGGACUCGCGGCUUAUCAGCUUGUUGGUGGGGUAGUGGCUUACCAAGGCUUUGACGGGUAGCCGGCCUGAGAGGGUGACCGGCCACAUUGGGACUGAGAUACGGCCCAGACUCCUACGGGAGGCAGCAGUGGGGAAUAUUGCACAAUGGGCGGAAGCCUGAUGCAGCAACGCCGCGUGCGGGAUGACGGCCUUCGGGUUGUAAACCGCUUUCGCCUGUGACGAAGCGUGAGUGACGGUAAUGGGUAAAGAAGCACCGGCUAACUACGUGCCAGCAGCCGCGGUGAUACGUAGGGUGCGAGCGUUGUCCGGAUUUAUUGGGCGUAAAGGGCUCGUAGGUGGUUGAUCGCGUCGGAAGUGUAAUUUUGGGGCUUAACCCUGAGCGUGCUUUCGAUACGGGUUGACUUGAGGAAGGUAGGGGAGAAUGGAAUUCCUGGUGGAGCGGUGGAAUGCGCAGAUAUCAGGAGGAACACCAGUGGCGAAGGCGGUUCUCUGGGCCUUUCCUGACGCUGAGGAGCGAAAGCGUGGGGAGCGAACAGGCUUAGAUACCCUGGUAGUCCACGCUGUAAACGGUGGGUACUAGGUGUGGGGUCCAUUCCACGGGUUCCGUGCCGUAGCUAACGCUUUAAGUACCCCGCCUGGGGAGUACGGCCGCAAGGCUAAAACUCAAAGGAAUUGACGGGGCCCCGCACAAGCGGCGGAGCAUGCGGAUUAAUUCGAUGCAACGCGUAGAACCUUACCUGGGUUUGACAUGGAUCGGGAGUGCUCAGAGAUGGGUGUGCCUCUUUUGGGGUCGGUUCACAGGUGGUGCAUGGCUGUCGUCAGCUCGUGUCGUGAGAUGUUGGGUUAAGUCCCGCAACGAGCGCAACCCUUGUUCACUGUUGCCAGCACGUUAUGGUGGGGACUCAGUGGAGACCGCCGGGGUCAACUCGGAGGAAGGUGGGGAUGACGUCAAGUCAUCAUGCCCCUUAUGUCCAGGGCUUCACGCAUGCUACAAUGGCUGGUACAGAGAGUGGCGAGCCUGUGAGGGUGAGCGAAUCUCGGAAAGCCGGUCUCAGUUCGGAUUGGGGUCUGCAACUCGACCUCAUGAAGUCGGAGUCGCUAGUAAUCGCAGAUCAGCAACGCUGCGGUGAAUACGUUCCCGGG
rnacentral:rRNA from 1 species